GGAUUUACCAAAGGAGACAAGGGAGGAAAGGGAAGAGCGGUUGCAAAGGGAGAAGAUUCGUGAAGAACGACGUCGAGAGAGGGAAAGGGAAAGAAGGUUGGAAGCUAAAGAUGCUGCAAUGGGAAAGAAGAGUAAGAUCACAAGAGACAGAGAUCGUGAUAUCAGUGAAAAGGUUGCACUUGGCAUGGCUUCUACUGGAGCAGGUAGAGAGGGAGAGGUUAUGUAUGACCAGAGGCUAUUUAACCAAGAUAAAGGAAUGGACUCCGGAUUCGCCAACGAUGACCAGUACAACAUAUACGACAAGGGUUUAUUUAC
rnacentral:misc_RNA from 1 species